UAUCUCUGUAGAGUCUGCAUAUCAAUAAGCGGAGGAAAAGAAACUAACUAGGAUUCCCUCAGUAACGGCGAGUGAAGCGGGAAGAGCUCAAAUUUGAAAUCUUCAAGGUUCUACCUUGACGAAUUGUAGUUUAAAGAAGUGUUUUCUGUUGGAGUUUUGGUAAAAGUUCUUUGGAAUAGGACAUCAUAGAGGGUGAGAAUCCCGUAUUUGACCAUUACUUCCAGCGUUGUGAUACACUUUCAAAGAGUCGGAUUGUUUGGGAAUGCAGGUCCAAAAUGGGUGGUAAAUUUCAUCUAAAGCUAAAUAUUGGCGAGAGACCGAUAGCGAACAAGUACCGUGAGGGAAAGAUGAAAAGAACUUUGAGAAGAGAGUUAAACAGUACGUGAAAUUGUCAAAAGGGAAGCGUUUGACACCAGUGUUGUUUUUCUGAAAAUCAAUUAAAGAACUGUUUAUGCUAAGUUGUUUAGACUUUAUCAGCUAACUGUUUAGUUUUGAGCUUUUCUUUAAUGCACUUUUCAGUUAACAAGUCAACAUCAAUUUCUUUUGCUGUAAAAAAGCUUGAGGAAGGUGGCUUGAGAUUCGUCUUAAGUGUUUAUAGCCUCUUGCCUAUGCAGUCGGAGAGAUUGAGGUCUGCAGCGUAGAUCCUUCGGGGCUAAAUGCAUUUGUGCUAAGUUAUAGCAUUUUAUAGACAACUUGUUGACUAUGAUUUGUCUUGUAGCUUACUCGCUUAUGUUAUUUUACCUACGCUUAGGAUGUUGACGAUCAGCUGAGCGCG
rnacentral:rRNA from 1 species